rnacentral:rRNA from 1 species
AAAUUGAAGAGUUUGAUCAUGGCUCAGAUUGAACGCUGGCGGCAGGCCUAACACAUGCAAGUCGAACGGUAGCACAGAGAGCUUGCUCUCGGGUGACGAGUGGCGGACGGGUGAGUAAUGUCUGGGAAACUGCCUGAUGGAGGGGGAUAACUACUGGAAACGGUGGCUAAUACCGCAUAAUGUCGCAAGACCAAAGAGGGGGACCUUCGGGCCUCUUGCCAUCAGAUGUGCCCAGAUGGGAUUAGCUAGUUGGUGAGGUAACGGCUCACCAAGGCGACGAUCCCUAGCUGGUCUGAGAGGAUGACCAGCCACACUGGAACUGAGACACGGUCCAGACUCCUACGGGAGGCAGCAGUGGGGAAUAUUGCACAAUGGGCGCAAGCCUGAUGCAGCCAUGCCGCGUGUAUGAAGAAGGCCUUCGGGUUGUAAAGUACUUUCAGCGGGGAGGAAGGUGUUGUGGUUAAUAACCUCAGCAAUUGACGUUACCCGCAGAAGAAGCACCGG